UACGUAGGGGGCGAGCGUUGUCCGGAUUUAUUGGGCGUAAAGAGCUCGUAGGCGGUUUGGUAAGUCGGGUGUGAAAUCUCCACGCUCAACGUGGAGGGGCCACUCGAUACUGCCAUGACUCGAGUCCGGUAGAGGAGUGUGGAAUUCCCGGUGUAGCGGUGAAAUGCGCAGAUAUCAGGAGGAACACCGGUGGCGAAGGCGGUUCUCUGGGCAUUACCUGACGCUGAGGAGCGAAAGUGUGGGGAGCGAACAGG
rnacentral:rRNA from 1 species